UCUCGUCCGACCGCCCCCCAACCAGCUUCCCCCACAACACUUUUCCUCCCUAUCCCUUACGGUAGAAGACAAUUUGAUCUGUUGGAGGUAGAAGUGGCGUGUGGUUCCUCCUCUCUCCGUGUCCGUGACCAGUCUAGGGGCGUUCGUCUUUGGAGCAGGAGCUCUACCAUACAUUCUCACAGGGAGAGAGAGAGAGAGGAAAGAGGGACAGGGAACCGUUGUAAUAGUGUGCACUACUGUGAAAGAAAGCAAAAGCAAACAUGGCCAAGUCUUUGUGUUCGGUUUUGUUGAUACUACUGGCUUUGUCUUCGGUGUCAACCGCCUUGCAGUGCCUCCGGUGUUCGAAUUGUCAACAUGAGGUCGAAAUUCCUACGACCUGUCAACCUGGAUUCGACGUCUGCAUGAAACAAGUCAACUACAACAAAGUUAAAAAAUCCUGUGCUCCGAGAGUCGUCUGCAAACCGGAGGAGAUAGACCGUAGUUCCCCCGAUAUAAUACAGGACUUGAAGACGUUCUUCAGCUCAAGAGAUAUCAAUAGGCUGAUAAACAGCGCUUUCCACCCUCGUACUAAAACCGUCCAUUGCUGUGAGACGGACUACUGUAACGGAUCCCCAGGCAUUAGAACCAGUUCAGGACUCCUUGUCAUCCUACCCUUAGCGCUCUACCUGCUCGGGUGCUGAGAGCGGUCGGAGUUUGCCGCUUUUCUAAUUUGCCUUGUUUUUUUAUAACGAGCUUUGUUCUUGCCAAAUUUUCAUCAUGAACAAUGACAGUUGAAGAGAACAAGAAUUUUUCGAAGAACGUGACUCGGCGACGCAGGUUUGUUCAAGAAUGAAGCAUCACACGUUUUUCAUAUUCAUGAGAGUACUAGUUCCUUGAAAACAGUGUUGUUUCUCGGUCACGUUGCGUUUCGAACAGACUGAAACGCUGCGGUACAUAAUAUUUUAUAUAUAAUGUUGGUAAAUGUUAGCUAAAUGAUGUGUGUAUGUUCUAGAUGAACUGAUGGCUGGUCUGUCAUACUUUAAAGGGAAAAGUGACUGAAACGGGCGUGUCUUUUUCAAGGUCUUUUCAAAAUGACGUGUGGUAUUUUUUCAUGGUGAUGUGUAUGGUUUUUUCACCAUGUACAUUACUACUCUGAAUACAAAAAAAUAAUAUGCUGGGUUUUGCUGUUAAGAGUUGUUGAUGUGUAAGCUUUAAGAUAAAAUAGUUUUUUUAUACAUUUUUAUACAUCCGUCCAUGUAAUAAACAUUCCUAUUGUCAAUCUAUGACUUAUUUCAAGUCAAUCAGGAAGUCUUUGGAAUCUUCGAGUUCAGUUACGAGCAUUUGCGCCGAAAUGGCGGAUCACUGUAGCCAAUCAGAACAUGAUAGCUGAACUUAGUCUAAGAUUUAAAAGAUGAAAGAACUUUGAUUAUGAACUACUAGAUUUUAAGAGAUAACUGUCCGACAAGUGUAAAGUACAGGUAUGAAUUACUUUUAAUAUUAGUAAUUAAGAUACAAGAAGGGAAAGUCAUCACGGUGUGAAUAUAGUUAAUCAAUAUAUACAGCGUCUAUGUGUAGUACGGUUGAUAUGACUUUCUCCCACAAGAGAGCGCUCAGUCUACAGCCAUGCAUGAUAUAGGCCUAACCGGAUAUCUGGGUACCUGCUUCUCACAGUUUCAGAGAGUUUGUAUAUUUCGCAAGUUUUAGUUACGAAAAAAAUAACUUCAAGGUAAUCCAUUUAUAAUGAUGGAUCGUCUGUUGCCUUGUCUCUUCAAGGUAAUCCAUCUAUAAUGAUGCAUCGUCUGUUGCCUUGUCUGACCCGUUUUCUUCUGCGGAAGUAGAGAACAAUGAACAAAUUUUUUUUUUUUUACUUUUAAACCGAUAUAGUAGAAUAACUUCUAUUGAGCCGCGUUUGGUGGAUAUUAUGAUUGCUCAGUGUGUAUAAGAGAUGUUUAAUACAUUUCAUAUUUAAAAUUUGUAUUGCAAGAUGCAUAUAUUUAUAGGAAAUUUAUUAUUAGGCUUUUUUUUUAAAUUUUACUUUGAACUGAUCUGAACACGACGUAUUAAUCUUUGAUACUGCAGUCAUGAGGUUAUAAGGAUGACCGGUAUUGAAAUGUAGGCCUGAUAUUUGUAUCAGAUCAGCCAAAGUCACCCCGUUAGGCCUAUUUAUGUUAAUUAAAUCCCAUUAUCUCCUGAAGGUCAAUCCCAACUUGAUGAAUCAUCUGGAAAAAUCCCAGAAUUAGAAAACAAGAUUUGGGAACUAGCCUCUUUAGUCGGUAGUGGAAUAUUCCCAGUUUUUUUUAUGCACACGAGUCUAAUUCCUGUUGUAAAAAUAUUCUAGUUCCAGGUAUAAAGUACAGCCAGUGUUUGCUUGUUUUUUUUUUUCAGUUUUAUGUAUGUCUAAUGAUCAUUACAUAUCUGUAAAUAUUUCAUAUUAUCACACAACUUUAAUUGUAAGGAGGUAAAAUACGGCUCAGAGUUACCUACAUAUGCUGGAAGCUGACUUUGUAGUUGGUAAGCCUUACAGGGUAGUUGAGUUGCCAGUUUCCAUUUUUUUGUUUCCCAACUACUACGGAUUCAGGGGGCAACCCGCAGAUAGUACAAUGUAUUUAGAUAGUACAAUAUAUUUACCAACAUGUAAUAAUCGACUGUACAUAGUCCUAUGUCCGUGAUUUCCUUCAUACAGUAUACAGAAGAAGAAGAGUGGUUCUCUUGGAACUUGGAAAUAACCGUUCAAGACGUAUCCCGGAAGAAUUACUACAUUUUUAUGUUAAUUUUUCAUAGCGUAACUUCCAUCUUGAAAAAUAUCCUUGUGUUCAUUUUUAUAUAUAUUUUGUUAGGAAUGCAAGUGAAUAAAUUACGCAGAUUA